AGUGAACGCUGGCGGUAGGCCUAACACAUGCAAGUCGAACGGCAGCAUAGUAAGAGCUUGCUCUUACGGGUGGCGAGUGGCGGACGGGUGAGGAAUACAUCGGAAUCUACUUUUUCGUGGGGGAUAACGUAGGGGAACUUACGCUAAUACCGCAUACGACCUACGGGUGAAAGCAGGGGAUCUUCGGACCUUGCGCGAUUGAAUGAGCCGAUGUCGGAUUAGCUAGUUGGCGGGGUAAAGGCCCACCAAGGCGACGAUCCGUAGCUGGUCUGAGAGGAUGAUCAGCCACACUGGAACUGAGACACGGUCCAGACUCCUACGGGAGGCAGCAGUGGGGAAUAUUGGACAAUGGGCGCAAGCCUGAUCCAGCCAUACCGCGUGGGUGAAGAAGGCCUUCGGGUUGUAAAGCCCUUUUGUUGGGAAAGAAAAGCAGCAGGUUAAUACCCCGCUGUUCUGACGGUACCCAAAGAAUAAGCACCGGCUAACUUCGUG
rnacentral:rRNA from 1 species